rnacentral:rRNA from 1 species
UACGGAGGGGGCUAGCGUUGUUCGGAAUUACCGGGCGUAAAGGGCUCGUAGGCGGCCAACUAAGUCGGAUGUGAAAUCCCCAGGCUUAACCUGGGAACUGCAUCCGAUACUGGAUGGCUUGAAUUCGGGAGAGGGAUGCAGAAUUCCAGGUGUAGCGGUGAAAUGCGUAGAUAUCUGGAGGAAUACCGGUGGCGAAAGCGACUCUCUGGACGGCAACUGACGCUGAGGCACGAAAGCGUGGGGAGCAAACAGG